UACGUAGGUGGCAAGCGUUGUCCGGAUUUACUGGGCGUAAAGGGCGUGCAGGCGGUUUGUUAAGUGCAGGGUGAAAGCUCCCGGCUCAACUGGGAGAGGUCCUUGCAUACUGGCGAACUCGAGGGAGGCAGAGGAAAGUGGAAUUCCCGGUGUAGUGGUGAUAUGCGUAGAUAUUGGGAGGAACACCAGUGGCGAAGGCGGC
rnacentral:rRNA from 1 species